GCGGUGGAGCACGUGGUUUAAUUCGAUGCAAACCGAAGAACCUUACCUGGUUUGACAUGUGCGUGUUACUGAGGUGAAAGCCAGGGGACCAUAUCUUCGGAUGUGGAGCGUACACAGGUGCUGCAUGGCUGUCGUCAGCUCGUGUCGUGAGAUGUUGGGUUAAGUCCCGCAACGAGCGCAACCCUCGUCCUUAGUUGCCAUCAUUAAGUUGGGCACUUUAAGGAAACUGCCGGUGAUAAGCCGGAGGAAGGUGGGGAUGACGUCAAGUCCUCAUGGCCCUUACAGGCUGGGCUACACACGUGCUACAAUGGCAUCUACAGUGGGCAGCUAUUCCGCAAGGGUGCGCUAAUCUCCAAAAGAUGUCUCAGUUCGGAUUGUCCUCUGCAACUCGAGGGCAUGAAGGCGGAAUCGCUAGUAAUCGCGGAUCACGCAUGCCGCGGUGAAUACGUUCCCAGGCCUU
rnacentral:rRNA from 1 species